rnacentral:lncRNA from 1 species
UGGAAAGUGUGAAAGCUGCCAGUGAACUCUAUUCUCCUCUAUCAGGAGAAGUAACUGAAAUUAAUGAGGCACUUGCAGAAAACCCAGGGCUUGUGAACAAAUCUUGUUACGAAGAUGGUUGGCUGAUAAAGAUGACACUGAGUGACCCUUCAGAACUAGAUGACCUAAUGAGCGAAGAAGCAUAUGAGAAAUAUGUAAAAUCUAUUGAGGAGUGAAAAUGGCACCCUAAAUAAUCUAGUAUGGAAUAACUGCAAGCA